GUGAGGAAUAUUGGUCAAUGGUCGGAAGACUGAACCAGCCAUGCCGCGUGCAGGAAGACGGUCCUAUGGAUUGCAAACUGCUUUUAUUCGGGGAUAAACCUCCUUACGUGUAGGGAGCUGAAGGUACCGAAAGAAUAAGCACCGGCUAACUCCGUGCCAGCAGCCGCGGUAAUACGGAGGUUGCAAGCGUCAUCCGGCAUCAUUGGGUUUAAAGGGUCCGCAGGCGGGAUUGUAAGUCAGUGGUGAAAUCCGGCAGCUCAACUGUCGCACUGCCAUUGAUACUGCAGUCCUUGAAUUCGAUUGGAGUGGGCGGAAUAUGUCAUGUAGCGGUGAAAUGCUUAGAUAUGACAUAGAACACCGAUAGCGAAGGCAGCUCACUAAGUCUGAAUUGACGCUCAUGGACGAAAGCGCGGGUAGCAAACAGGAUUAGAAACCCGAGUAGUCC
rnacentral:rRNA from 1 species